UAAGGAAUAUUGGUCAAUGGACGCAAGUCUGAACCAGCCAUGCCGCGUGAAGGAUGAAGGUCCUCUGGAUUGUAAACUUCUUUUAUUUGGGACGAAAACGGGAUUUUUAUCUCAAUUGACGGUACCAGAGGAAUAAGCACCGGCUAACUCCGUGCCAGCAGCCGCGGUAAUACGGAGGGUGCGAGCGUUAUCCGGAUUUACUGGGUUUAAAGGGUGCGUAGGUGGGCUUAUAAGUCAGUGGUGAAAUCUCCGAGCUUAACUUGGAAACUGCCGUUGAUACUAUAGGUCUUGAAUUAUCUGGAGGUAAGCGGAAUAUGUCAUGUAGCGGUGAAAUGCUUAGAUAUGACAUAGAACACCAAUUGCGAAGGCAGCUUACUACAUAUAAAUUGACGCUGAGGCACGAAAGCGUGGGGAUCAAACA
rnacentral:rRNA from 1 species